rnacentral:rRNA from 1 species
GACGAACGCUGGCGGCGUGCUUAACACAUGCAAGUCGAACGGAAAGGCCCCCUUGUGGGGCACUCGAGUGGUGAACGGGUGAGUAACACGUGAGUAACCUACCCUUUACUUUGGGAUAACUUCAGUAAACUGGGGCUAAUACCGGAUAGGAGCUCCUGCUGCAUGGUGGGGGUUGGAAAGUUUCGGCGGUUGGGGAUGGACUCGCGGCUUAUCAGCUUGUUGGUGGGGUAGUGGCUCACCAAGGCUUUGACGGGUAGCCGGCCUGAGAGGGUGACCGGCCACAUUGGGACUGAGAUACGGCCCAGACUCCUACGGGAGGCAGCAGUGGGGAAUAUUGCACAAUGGGCGGAAGCCUGAUGCAGCAACGCCGCGUGCGGGAUGAUGGCCUUCGGGUUGUAAACCGCUUUCGCCUGUGACGAAGCGUGAGUGACGGUAAUGGGUAAAGAAGCACCGGCUAACUACGUG